UACGUAGGUGGCAAGCGUUGUCCGGAUUUAUUGGGUUUAAAGGGUGCGUAGGCGGCUUUGUAAGUCAGUGGUGAAAUAUGGCAGCUUAACUGUCAAGGUGCCAUUGAUACUGCGGAGCUUGAGUACAGAUGAGGUAGGCGGAAUUGACGGUGUAGCGGUGAAAUGCGUAGAUAUUGGGAGGAACACCGGUGGCGAAGGCGGUCCUCUGGACCGGUACUGACGCUGAUGCGCGAAAGCGUGGGGAGCAAACGGG
rnacentral:rRNA from 1 species